rnacentral:lncRNA from 1 species
GGUCUUUGGUCUAUUUAAGAAGAACAGAAUCCGUUUCCUAAGUAUUCAAACUUGGCUCCUUUUGUCUAAACUUUUAAUGUCAUACUUUUUAUAGGAUUUCUAAAUUAGGAUGCUAAGGAGGAAAGUGCUCUUGGUUUCUUUAUCUUCUUUUGCUAUACUUAUCUUCAUCUUCUUUAUAUCAUUGAAUAUUGGCUUAAAUUUUUCAUUAUCAACUUCGUUAAACAACACCAUUUUACUGCAGCAAUCGACCCAAAUGAACGCACAGUUCACCCUCUUAAUCGGAAUCUUUACACAACCAAAAAAUUUCGAUAGACGUCAUUUCCUUCGCCUUAUAUAUGGAAUUCAAUCCAC